GUAGGUGGCAAGCGUUGUCCGGAAUUAUUGGGCGUAAAGCGCGCGCAGGCGGUUCUUUAAGUCUGAUGUGAAAGCCCACGGCUCAACCGUGGAGGGUCAUUGGAAACUGGAGAACUUGAGUACAGAAGAGGAAAGCGGAAUUCCACGUGUAGCGGUGAAAUGCGUAGAGAUGUGGAGGAACACCAGUGGCGAAGGCGGCUUUCUGGUCUGUAACUGACGCUGAGGCGCGAAAGCGUGGGGGAGCAAACAGGAUUAGAUACCCUGGUAGUCCACGCCGUAAACGAUGAGUGCUAAGUGUUAGGGGGUUUCCGCCCCUUAGUGCUGCAGCUAACGCAUUAAGCACUCCGCCCUGGGAGUACGACCGCAAGGUUG
rnacentral:rRNA from 1 species